rnacentral:ncRNA from 1 species
UUCCUUUAUUUAAAGUUUUAUUCUUGCUUAAUUAUUCACUUUAUCUUUGUAUUAUAUGCUAGUUUUGUUGACUAAAUGUUUCGUUAUUGCAGUAAUUUGACUUAAUUAUCAAGUUAAUUUGGAAUUAGUAAUUGAUUUAGUUUUGGCCUAAUUCGUGCCAGCAGCCGCGGUUAUACGAUUGAUGCAAGUGAAUAUUUUUGGUUUAACAGUUAAUUGUUGUUUGGGAUUGAAAAUUUUGUUUUUAAGGUGAAAUUUUAAAUUUAUUUUAUGUCCUUAUUUUGAUUCUGUGAAACUUAAAUUGUAAACUAGGAUUAGAUACCCUAUUAUUUAUAGUGUUAAAAUUUUACCUGGGUAGUAUUAGUUAAGGUCUUUAAACCCAAAGAAUUUGGCGGCAUUUCAUUCUAUUCAGAGGAACCUACCCUGUAAUUGAUAGUACACGAUUAGUAAUACUUGGUUUAUUUGUUUGUAUAUCUCCGUUAUCAGAAAAUCUUUUUAGAGACAUAAUUUUCAGGAUUCUUUAUUAAGAAAAAUUUCAGGUCAAGGUGCAGCUUAUAACUAGGAAGAGGUGGGUUACAAUAAGUUUUUGCUUAUUACGGUUUCUUUAUAAAAAUAUGGAAUAAAGGUGGAUUUGAUAGUAAUUUGAUUAAUUUAAUUUAUUUGAUAUUAGCUCUGAAGUGUGCACACAUCGCCCGUCGCUCUCAUUAUUUAAAUCCUUUAAUUUUAUUUGAUUGGAUUUUUAUUUAGAUGAGAUAAGUCGUAACAUAGUAGGUGUACUGGAAAGUGUACCUGGGAAGAAUGAU